rnacentral:ncRNA from 1 species
UAGAUAGAGGCGCGAAAUGUUAAGAAACUAAUAUUGAUGAUGCUGCAACUAUGAUGUUAGUAGAGGGGCUUUCGCCGAAGGGGUAAAUAAUUGCAGUUAUUUAUUCUCUGGGUUUAUAGAGAACAUCUAUAAGACUGUCAUUAUCUUUUGAUAAUGGUGAGCUAUCA